rnacentral:rRNA from 1 species
CGGACGGGGGAGUAAUGUCUGGGAAACUGCCCGAUGGAGGGGGAUAACUACUGGAAACGGUAGCUAAUACCGCAUAACGUCGCAAGACCAAAGAGGGGACCGUUCGGGCCUCUUGCCAUCGGAUGUGCCCAGAUGGGAUUAGCUAGUAGGUGGGGUAACGGCUCACCUAGGCGACGAUCCCUAGCUGGUCUGAGAGGAUGACCAGCCACACUGGAACUGAGACACGGUCCAG